rnacentral:rRNA from 1 species
GGCUCACCAAGGCGACGAUGCGUAGCCGACCUGAGAGGGUGAUCGGCCACACUGGGACUGAGACACGGCCCAGACUCCUACGGGAGGCAGCAGUAGGGAAUCUUCCGCAAUGGACGAAAGUCUGACGGAGCAACGCCGCGUGAGUGAUGAAGGUUUUCGGAUCGUAAAACUCUGUUGUCGGGGAAGAACAAGUACGAUAGUAACUGAUCGUACCUUGACGGUACCCGACCAGAAAGCCACGGCUAACUACGUGCCAGCAGCCGCGGUAAUACGUAGGUGGCAAGCGUUGUCCGGAAUUAUUGGGCGUAAAGCGCUCGCAGGCGGUUCUUUAAGUCUGAUGUGAAAUCUUGCGGCUCAACCGUAAACGUGCAUUGGAAACUGGAGGACUUGAGUGCAGAAGAGGAGAGUGGAAUUCCACGUGUAGCGGUGAAAUGCGUAGAGAUGUGGAGGAACACCAGUGGCGAAGGCGACUCUCUGGUCUGUAACUGACGCUGAGGAGCGAAAGCGUGGGGAGCGAACAGGAUUAGAUACCCUGGUAGUCCACGCCGUAAACGAUGAGUGCUAGGUGUUAGGGGGUUUCCGCCCCUUAGUGCUGAAGUUAACGCAUUAAGCACUCCG